GGGGGUGUAGCUCAUCUGGUAGAGCGCGUGCUUAGCAAUUCUCGCUGAUGAUCACAUCGUGAUCUUGGCCACAUGUUCCUGCACGAGGUACUGGGUUCGACUCCCAGCUCCUCCA
rfam:Coniochaeta ligniaria NRRL 30616 unplaced genomic scaffold CONLIGscaffold_11, whole genome shotgun sequence.